rnacentral:rRNA from 1 species
CCAAUAGCGUAUAUUAAAGUUGUUGCAGUUAAAAAGCUCGUAGUUGAAUUUCGGGAUUGACACAUCGGUCGUGCCUUAAGGGGUAUGAACUGGUGUAGUCAAUUUCUCACCUUCUGGAGAACCGCGAUGCCCUUAAUUGGGUGUCGCGGGGAACCAGGACCUUUACUUUGAAAAAAUUAGAGUGUUUAAAGCAGGCAUUUUGCUUGAAUACAUUAGCAUGGAAUAAUAAAAUAGGACGGCAUGAUUCUAUUUUGUUGGUUUCUAGGAUCACCGUAAUGAUUAAUAGGGAUAGUUGGGGGCAUUAGUAUUCAAUUGUCAGAGGUGAAAUUCUUGGAUUUAUUGAAGACUAACUACUGCGAAAGCAUUUGCCAAGGAUGUUUUCAUUAAUCAAGAACGAAAGUUAGGGGAUCGAAGACGAUCAGAUACCGUCGUAGUCUUAACCAUAAACUAUGCCGACUAGGAAUCAGACGAUGUUAAUUUUUUAAUGACUCGUUUGGCACCUUAGG